AAAUGUGCUAAAAUUGGAUUCAACAGCAAAAGUCGCAUAAAUAACAUAUAAAUAACGAAUUUGUUCACCUAUUACAAAUGGGGUUAUGUGGUUGUAACUGUUUAUUUUGGGAAUAAAAUGAAAAUGAUCAAUUAAACGACUGGAAAACUAUAGUGAAGUGAAGAACAUCUUGAAGUUCCAAUGAUGUUUCAAGAUGAGGUAAAUCGAAAUAAUUGUAUGUUAGAAGGACAGAGAAUAUGAAGAAAUGUUAUUGCUGCAUAUUUAGUGUAGUGAAAUACAAACUUCAAACAUUAUAAUAUAUUUUUUGAUUUCAAACAUUUCAUAUGAUUAUGAAAGAACAUCUUUCUUUUUAAAACAAUGAAGAAGUGAAGAACAUAAUAAAGUUCCAACGAAAAUGAUUCCAGAUGAGGAAAAUCGAAAUAAUGGUUGUAUGUUACAUGUAUAGAGAAUACGAAGAAAUGUUAUUGCUGCAAACUUAGUGUAGUGAAUUAAAAACUUAUUGUCAAAUACAAAUCAAUUUAUUUCAUACUUUUAUAAUAUAUAGUGAUAUAAUUUUAUAUGUGUUCAAAUAAAAAUAUUAAUAAAUAAAAUACAAUAAACACAAA